rnacentral:tRNA from 1 species
AUUAAAAUGGCAGAAUAAGUGCAUUGAAUUUAAGCUUCAAAUAUGGGUUUCCUUUUAAUA